GAUGAAGAACGUAGUGAAAUGCGAUACUUGGUGUGAAAUGCAGAAUCCCGUGAACCAUCGAGUCUUUGAACGCAAGUUGCGCCCGAAGCCAUUAGGCCGAGGGCACGCCUGCCUGGGCGUCACACGUCGUUGCCCCCCCAUCUACUCCUUCGGGAUUGCGGGGGGCGGAUGAUGGCCUCCCGUGCGCCUCGUCGCGCGGUUGGCAUAAAUGCCAAGUCCUCGGCGACGCACGCCACGACAAUCGGUGGUUGCGAAACCUCGGUUGCCCGUCGUGUGCGGUCGUCGCGCAUCGAGGGCUCGAAAAAAUUACCGGGCUCCGGCUCGGCUUUCAACGCGACCCCAGGUCAGGCGGGGUUACCCGCUGAAUUUAAGCAUAUCAAUAAGCGGAGGA
rnacentral:misc_RNA from 1 species